rnacentral:misc_RNA from 1 species
CGCAACUUGCGCUCUCUGGUAUUCCGGAGAGCAUGCCUGUUUGAGUGUCAUGAAAUCUCAACCAUUAGGGUUUCUUAAUGGCUUGGAUUUGGGUGUUGCCAGUCUCUGGCUCGCCUUAAAGGAGUUAGCGAGUUUAACAAUGUCGUCUGGCGUAAUAAGUUUCGCUGGUAAGACUUGUGAAGUUUGCUUCUAAUCGUCUUCGGACAAUUACUUUGACUCUGGCCUCAAAUCAGGUAGGACUACCCGCUGAACUUAA